GAUGAACGCUAGCGGGAGGCCUAACACAUGCAAGCCGAGCGGUAUUUGUCUUUCGGGACAAAGAGAGCGGCGUACGGGUGCGGAACACGUGUGCAACCUGCCUUUAUCAGGGGGAUAGCCUUUCGAAAGGAAGAUUAAUACCCCAUAAUAUUUAGAAUGGCAUCAUUUUAAAUUGAAAACUCCGGUGGAUAGAGAUGGGCACGCGCAAGAUUAGAUAGUUGGUGAGGUAACGGCUCACCAAGUCUGCGAUCUUUAGGGGGCCUGAGAGGGUGAUCCCCCACACUGGUACUGAGACACGGACCAGACUCCUACGGGAGGCAGCAGUGAGGAAUAUUGGACAAUGGGUGGAAGCCUGAUCCAGCCAUCCCGCGUGAAGGAUGACGGCCCUAUGGGUUGUAAACUUCUUUUGUAUAGGGAUAAACCUAGAUACGUGUAUCUAGCUGAAGGUACUAUACGAAUAAGCACCGGCUAACUCCGUGCCAGCCGCCGCCGUAA
rnacentral:rRNA from 1 species